AACCUGGCCCAUACAGGGGGAUAACACUUAGAAAUAGGUGCUAAUACCGCAUAACAACAGAAAGCGCAUGCUUUUUGUUUGAAAACCAAGGUGGUAUGGGAUGGACCCGCGUCUGAUUAGCUGGUUGGCGGGGUAAAGGCCCACCAAGGCGACGAUCAGUAGCCGGCCUGAGAGGGUGGACGGCCACAUUGGGACUGAGACACGGCCCAAACUCCUACGGGAGGCAGCAGUGGGGAAUAUUGCACAAUGGGGGAAACCCUGAUGCAGCGACGCCGCGUGAGUGAAGAAGUAAUUCGUUAUGUAAAGCUCUAUCAGCAGGGAAGAAAAUGACGGUACCUGAGUAAGAAGCCCCGGCUAACUACGUGCCAGCAGCCGCGGUAAUACGUAGGGGGCAAGCGUUAUCCGGAUUUACUGGGUGUAAAGGGAGCGUAGACGGCGAUGCAAGUCUGAAGUGAAAGGCGGGGGCCCAACCCCCGGACUGCUUUGGAAACUGUAUGGCUGGAGUGCAGGAGAGGUAAGUGGAAUUCCUAGUGUAGCGGUGAAAUGCGUAGAUAUUAGGAGGAACACCGGCGGCGAAGGCGGCCUGCUGGACCGCGACUGACGUUGAGGCUCGAAAGCGUGGGGAGCGAACAGGAUUAGAUACCCUGGUAGUCCACGCCGUAAACGAUGACUACUAGGUGU
rnacentral:rRNA from 1 species